rnacentral:rRNA from 1 species
UACGAAGGGGGCUAGCGUUGUUCGGAAUUACUGGGCGUAAAGCGUAUGCAGGCGGACUUUUAAGUCGGGGGUGAAAUCCUGGAGCUCAACUCCAGAACUGCCUUCGAUACUGAAGAGCUCGAGUCCGGGAGAGGUGAGUGGAACUGCGAGUGUAGAGGUGAAAUUCGUAGAUAUUCGCAAGAACACCAGUGGCGAAGGCGGCUCACUGGCCCGGUACUGACGCUGAGGUGCGAAAGCGUGGGGAGCAAACAGG